UACGUAGGGGGCGAGCGUUGUCCGGAUUUACUGGGCGUAAAGGGAGCGUAGGCGGACUUUUAAGUGAGAUGUGAAAUACCCGGGCUCAACUUGGGUGCUGCAUUUCAAACUGGAAGUCUAGAGUGCAGGAGAGGAGAAUGGAAUUCCUAGUGUAGCGGUGAAAUGCGUAGAGAUUAGGAAGAACACCAGUGGCGAAGGCGAUUCUCUGGACUGUAACUGACGCUGAGGCUCGAAAGCGUGGGGAGCAAACAGG
rnacentral:rRNA from 1 species